UACGGAGGAUCCAAGCGUUAUCCGGAAUCAUUGGGUUUAAAGGGUCCGUAGGCGGUUUAGUAAGUCAGUGGGGAAAGCCCAUCGCUCAACGGUGGAACGGCCAUUGAUACUGCUAGACUUGAAUUAUUAGGAAGUAACUAGAAUAUGUAGUGUAGCGGUGAAAUGCUUAGAGAUUACAUGGAAUACCAAUUGCGAAGGCAGGUUACUACUAAUGGAUUGACGCUGAUGGACGAAAGCGUGGGUAGCGAACAGG
rnacentral:rRNA from 1 species